GUUUCAUUCAAGAGGAGAAAAGAUUAUUGCAACUGUGGCAUUCUGCUUCAGACAAUCAAAUCAAUGAAAUAACUCUUAAAACAGAUCUUUUUAGGAGUAUAUACUACGGGUGUCCCAGUGCACAAGGUUUCUCAGCUUGCAAAGGAUUACUUACAGGUAUGCAAUAUUCCCUUGCAAUGCAAGAGAUUGUUUUUGUCCUUAAGGUAAGAUUGGUAAAAGAUUCAUUCAUUCAUCCUAUCAUAUUUAAUAAUGAGAAGGAAAGAUCCCUUGCAUGUACACGGUCUUAGUCAAGGUCUUGACAUUUUUUUUUCUGCGGUAGCUUAUUAAUAAGAGGAAACAGAAAAAAGAAAAUAAUUUUUUGAAACCAACAAACAAUCAAGGAUUUAGAAUCUAAACUUUUAUCAUACAGUUCCUUCCAUACUUAAACUAUGAAAAAAGAAUACAAAUACAAAAGAUAAAUGAAUAGAUCAAUUUCUUUAAAUAAUAGGAUAAUUCAUGAAAAGGUCUAUUAUACGUCCAUAAGCAGCAGCACUCACCUUCUUGAUUCCACAAGAAGAGCA
rnacentral:misc_RNA from 1 species